UAUCCUUAUACCUAUGUAUAGGAUGACACGUGCCCCCAUGCAUGCAUGCAUGCAUGCUUAUUCAUCAGAGGGUUGCAACAUCUGCCUCCUUAAUUAACUUUGCAUUUUCUUCUCUCUCUCUCUCUAGAACCGAGUGUGUGCAAGGUGGAGUUCGGGUGGAGUUUCGUCGCCGACGUGGUGCCGCGGAGCCGUUCGGGCGCACGUUGUGUCGUAUUGGUGCUGUGAGGAGCUUGGGCGGGCGUGGAUUUCUGUCGUCCUCGACUUUGCGCCGACUCUUGAGGAUCUAUCGAGUAUUUCAGCUCGUACGCGACGUAAGAGCAUCGGAUUUCGACGAGAUUUAGUUCGUUGAAACCGAGACUUCGAGACGAAUUCAUAGGAUCCUUACUCGCCCGAUUUGGAGAAGGUUCCAGCGUCGACGUUUCGUAUUCUGGCCCGUUCUCUGCGUAGGAGCGUCGGAAUUCAGCGAAACCUGGACCAUUGGAUUCGUGACUUUGAGACGAAGCUUCAGAACCCUUGUUUGCUGAAUUUGGAUAAGCAGGAGAACCGGGGACUUCGACGGACCAGCGAGGGAUCAUUUUGGAUCCGGGCCACUUUCUUCGCUGCCAGGAGUUGCUUGAGAGGUGGGUUACAUC